GCCGUCUUUCUGACGGAGCCGCACACCGAUUCGUAAUCGGCAGGUCAUCGGUUCAAGUCCGAUCGUCGGCUCCA
rnacentral:tRNA from 1 species